GAGUUUGAUCGUGGCUCAGGAUGAACGCUGGCGGCGUGCCUAACACAUGCAAGUCGAACGGAUCCAUAUUGAAACCUAGUGAUGUAUGGAUUAGUGGCGGACGGGUGAGUAACGCGUGGAUAACCUGCCGUAUACAGGGGAUAACACUUAGAAAUAGGUGCUAAUACCGCAUAAGCGCACGGUUCCGCAUGGAACAGUGUGAAAAACUUACGGUGGUAUACGAUGGAUCCGCGUCUGAUUAGCCAGUUGGCGGGGUAACGGCCCACCAAAGACGACGAUCAGUAGCCGGCCUGAGAGGGUGAACGGCCACAUUGGGACUGAGACACGGCCCAAACUCCUACGGGAGGCAGCAGUGGGGAAUAUUGCACAAU
rnacentral:rRNA from 1 species